rnacentral:rRNA from 1 species
AUUGAACGCUGGCGGUAGGCCUAACACAUGCAAGUCGAACGGCAGCACAGUAAGAGCUUGCUCUUACGGGUGGCGAGUGGCGGACGGGUGAGGAAUACAUCGGAAUCUACUUUUUCGUGGGGGAUAACGUAGGGAAACUUACGCUAAUACCGCAUACGACCUACGGGUGAAAGCAGGGGAUCUUCGGACCUUGCGCGAUUGAAUGAGCCGAUGUCGGAUUAGUUAGUUGGCGGGGUAAAGGCCCACCAAGGCGACGAUCCGUAGCUGGUCUGAGAGGAUGAUCAGCCACACUGGAACUGAGACACGGUCCAGACUCCUACGGGAGGCAGCAGUGGGGAAUAUUGGACAAUGGGCGCAAGCCUGAUCCAGCCAUACCGCGUGGGUGAAGAAGGCCUUCGGGUUGUAAAGCCCUUUUGUUGGGAAAGAAAAGCAGCAGGUUAAUACCCCGCUGUUCUGACGGUACCCAAGGAAUAAGCACCGGCUAACUUCGUG